rnacentral:rRNA from 1 species
AUUGAACGCUGGCGGCAUGCCUAACACAUGCAAGUCGAACGGGGGCAGCAAUGCCCUAGUGGCGGACGGGUGAGGAAUACGUAGGAACCGGCCCACGAGUGGGGGACAACCUGGGGAAACCCAGGCUAAUACCGCAUACGCUCGCGAGAGGAAAGCGGGGGGACCUUGGGCCUCGCGCUGGUGGACGGGCCUACGUCCGAUUAGCUUGUUGGUGGGGUAAAAGCCUACCAAGGCGACGAUCGGUAGCUGGUCUGAGAGGAUGAUCAGCCACACUGGGACUGAGACACGGCCCAGACUCCUACGGGAGGCAGCAGUGGGGAAUAUUGGACAAUGGGCGCAAGCCUGAUCCAGCAAUGCCGCGUGGGUGAAGAAGGCCUGCGGUUGUAAAG